GGCCUCGAAAUUUCAAAACAUUACAAUUUGGUCCUAAAAUUUUGAAACUUUACACUUUGGUCCAAUUUCAUGCUCAAGUCAACAAAAGAGACUUCGUAAACUUGAUGAAGAAUCAAAUUUGAUUGUGUAUCAUAAUGCAAAUGUGUUUAACUUAUAAUUGUAUAUUUAAAUGAUUAUGUUACUAUAUAAUUGAAUGAAAUUGCUCCAGCAAUGAAUGUGACAUCCAGUAGCUUGGAUCCUGCGAUUGAGUCGAACGAGGGGUGUUACACAUCAAGUAUUUUAGCAAAAGAAAAGGGAGGAUGACUAGAUUUUAACAAAGAGCUUCAAGGGAUAUAGAAUGAAAGAAAGAAAAAUUUUAUAAAAUAGAAAAAUAGGUCUAACCAAGUUGGAAAUUUGAAUAUUGAAGCUAAAGCCAAUUUUCCCCCCAAAUACUAGGCGCUCUUUUAGGCAUGGAGAUAUUUAAGGGAAAAAAACCUUAAACAGGUCUUCAAGUGAUCUAUUCGCCCAUGAUCAACCAUUCAAGAAAGCCAUUUAUAAAUAGGUUCAACCAUACAAAUCACUCUACUCAUGGAAACUCAAUAUUUGAGAGAUCAUAAAAUAAGCAUUGAGAGUUUAGUUUUUCUUUCGAGAUAAUAUGAAUUCAAAACCCAUGUUUAUUCCAUUUCAUGGAACCAUUGA
rnacentral:lncRNA from 1 species